rnacentral:lncRNA from 1 species
CUCGUCGCCAUCCCCAUGUUGUGAUGCUGCUGCUGCCGCUACUGCUUCAGCUAACUCCUCAGGACUCAGAGCCCCCAGAUGCCCGCCCAGUAUCUUCAGAAGAUCUCGAUCUCGACAUAUAGCUCUCACACAGUCAGCCGGAGUAUGAACAACUGGAUGGCUCGAUGACUAUGUAGACUGGGUAGAAGAGCAGCCUGAGCCACUGAAGGAUGGGCGUCAUCGUUGUCCUUGACCUUUAAUGUAGUUCUUCUUCACAACAGACGCCCUCUCCCACAACUCUUGAUCAAUAGGCGGACGUGGGCUGCCUUCAGGAUAACGCUCAUUCAAUAAACGCUUAUAAGUAUCCUAUCAUCAUGUUAACAAUUAAAUAGUUAAAAAUAAAUUAAUUCUAUAAGCAUUGAUAAACAAGAUCAAGUUGUUAAAAUUUAUUACCGCUAUCUGGAUAACAUCAGGCAGACCAUCA